rnacentral:rRNA from 1 species
UACGUAGGGGGCAAGCGUUGUCCGGAUUUAUUGGGCGUAAAGAGCGUGUAGGCGGCCAGUUAGGUCCGUUGUGAAAACUCGAGGCUCAACCUCGAGACGCCGAUGGAAACCAACUGGCUAGAGUCCGGAAGAGGAGAGUGGAAUUCCCGGUGUAGCGGUGAAAUGCGCAGAUAUCAGGAGGAACACCGAUGGCGAAGGCAGGUCUCUGGGCAUUAACUGACGCUGAGGAGCGAAAGCAUGGGGAGCGAACAGG